rnacentral:rRNA from 1 species
UACGUAGGUGGCAAGCGUUUUCCGGAAUUAUUGGGCGUAAAGCGCGCGCAGGCGGUUAUGUAAGUCUGAUGUUAAAGCCCGGGGCUCAACCUCGGUUCGCAUUGGAAACUGCGUAACUUGAGUGCAGAAGAGGAAAGUGGUAUUCCACGUGUAGCGGUGAAAUGCGUAGAUAUGUGGAGGAACACCAGUGGCGAAGGCGACUUUCUGGUCUGUAACUGACGCCGAGGCGCGAAAGCGUGGGGAGCAAACAGG